ACGUCAAACAACACAAUGAUAAGAGUUAGGAAAACAUAACCAAACAUUUGACGUUUGAAUUUAUAUUAUCAAUGGGACAAAGUUCCGGAUGUAAUUGUUUUGCUUGAAACAUGUAACGUGUGAGUAGACUUGGAUGCAGAUUAUCAAAUUCAGUCGUUCAAUUGAAAGGAGCUAUUGUGCCAACGAAUCAAAUAAGAUCUAGAAUAAGAUGCCUUUUUUCUGGCGAAGAGCUGGGAAUUAAAAAUUACGAAUUGGUUCGAAAACAAGUCGGAGAAUAUUUAAAAAAUGUCGUGUAAAUAUGAUUCGUGGAUCAAGAUUGCAAUUUUACAAAGUAUGAAACUGAACUAAACAAUUUGCUUCACGUUGUCGACAAGAGUGAAAACGAUAUGAUUAUUCUGAAAGAAGCAUUGAACAGUUGAACACAUUAAUUGAAAAACAAAGAAAUUAACAAAAUCAUUGAUCUUUGUUGUGCGCGUAUUGGGGACGACAUAAUACGUAUAAGAAACUGACUUUAGCGUCACUUUCUGCGUUUUCUCCUGUUGGAUUGGGCUCGACUGAUACAAGAGUGUUUUUAUCCUCAUCUUUUGACGUGCCAUUUGUUCCAUUUAUGCCUUAAUAGACAAUAUUUUUGAUAUGAAAACAUAAUUUUAAUUAAAUAUCAUAUUAAAAUAUUCAUUCAUGUAAAUUCACCUAGAUCAGAGAAUAUUACAUCACGAUACUAUCGUGAAAAUAGAGACUUUUCGAUUUGAUAAUGAUAACAAAUGGAGCAAAUAUUUUCUAUGGUCUGCGCUCCCGAAAAUCCAAACAAUAAAUCAUAGACCGGUGCUAAGCAUAAGCCCGAAUAAAAAAGCUGCCUUGCAGUCGUGAAUCCAACGAUGGAGACAAUGAUUAAAAACCAAAAUUGGGUCUUCGAAGACGCAAUCUCCAGCCAUAUCGACAUAUCGAUUGUGUCAGACAACUAAUAGUUGAAAAUUAUUUACAGUCAUCUCCACUUAUAAACACGUUAAGUAUGGUGAACACGAAUUUUUGCAGCGAUUUGAUGGAUAUGUGUGUGUGUUUAUAAGUGGAUAUCAUCAUCCGCGUAAACUUGAUGCCAAAUCGGGAUAUUCCGUCUAUUUUGGUCCGGAUCAUAAAUUGAAUUUGCAAGGAAGUGUUGAGCGCCGGCAAGCAUUGCGCCAUGCAAAACUGUAUGCCGUCUUGAAAGAAAUGGAACCAAUUUCAAAAUAUUCCUUUGAAAAAUGGUGCAUUCAGACCGAUCAACUUGGACUGAUUACGUUUAUCGAUCGAAGCUUACGAAGCAUGAGUGAAAAUUCAUUUCGCAGUGUCCACACUGGCAAAUUAAUUAAGGACUUACAAACAUCCAUGGAAUUAAAUAAAAUUCAUAGGUCGAGACAACAUCUGACAUUGCAAUUAAUGGUUUGCCCGAAUGAUAUUGGUGUUAUUGGCAUGUACUAUGCAGUAAAAAUGGCAGAACAAGCUGCUGUCAUAGCUGCAGCAGACACUAGAAAACAGAUAAUCGAAUGUAAAUAUAAUUUAGAGUAAGUUUUUCAUUUGGAAAUGUACAUUUAAUGUAUCAAUGUAUGGUCUAUUCCGUUCAAAACUUUUGUGCAAAUAUAUACAAUUCAUAAAAAUGCGAAAAUUAUAAAAUAAAUGUGAACAAUCUAUGAAGAAAAUAAUAAUAUUUCAACGAAGAAAUGUUUUAUCAGUCAAAAAACGUCGAACAAAUGAUUAGAGAACACGUUUUAAGAGGUUUUAU